UAUGAAGUGCAGAGCCAUUGCAAGCGAGAAAAAUCAGCCGGCAUUUUCGAAGCAAAAGUAAACAAGUUAAAUAGUAAAUACGAAAGUGACAGCUUUCCUAGAUCGAAAAGAUUUCGCAAUAUUUAUAUUCUGCUUUGGAAAAAGGAGAAAGCGAAUAAUGGACGAUCGUGGACGCGUGCUCCGGAUAGAAACGACAGGCAUCCGACAGGACGCAGGAUUCUACAGGCUUUCCUUUGGCAUCCGUAUGCUUCAACAACACUCGCAGUUGCAGAGAAUCAGUCGGAAUCUGCAAUCUGGCGUAUUGACCUAGCAGCCUUUAGACAUACUAAUCAGGACUCGAUAAGCAAACUGACCGCGGCGUAUCAGUAGAUUGACAGUAAAUUGAAUUGGCAGAAAUUCCCGCAAAUCGAUUAUAAUGUCCGCAUUAAGCUUAUGUUCUGCAGAGCCUGCUAACAUAACUCGAUGGUAGAACUGAAGGCAGAAACUGGGUAGAAUCUGUUGAAUGCGGAUUCUGCUCUAUUUCUGCUGUUAAUUUGUAUACAAUUAUGCAGUAAGUAUAUCAAAGAGUUUACCUGAUUUCUGCAGUCAAUCUGUCAUCAUAUUUUGGUCAAACUUUACUGUAUUUCUGUCAGAGUUCUGUCUACAGUAUUGUAUACACUAGAUCCUGUAUCAGAUUGGUAGCUUGUUUUUUUUUUUUUAAUAGAUUUGACCAUGUGAAGAAUUUUACUAUGUGCGUAUCUUAUUGUGCAAUGGGAGGUUGCUAAGCAUAAAACUUAACUGCUGCAUCUUAAUUUUAUCCUACAUUUUCAUAUGAAUUGAUGGCACAUAAAAAAGUUAUGAAUCUGGAAGGUGUUAAUUGCAUCACGGUGUUACGUUUGCAUAUUAAGCCUGUGAUACAUAGCAAAAAAUUUAUCCUGGAUCUCUCAGUUCGAUGUUACCAAACUUAGACAAAGAAACUAGACUCGGGAAAUUUGUAAACGGAGCAAAAUACUGAAGUGGCACUGAAGAUAUUCAACAAUGGCUACUGUGCUAGAUACAUUUGAAGUUUCUUAUAAUCAGUGAAAUGAAUAGAAGAUCACGAAGCAGCUGUUUGAAAGUAAAGGAAGGCCAGAGUUCAGAAUGUGUACCAAAAGAAAAUAAUAAUAAUGAUAAAAAUCUAAAGAUACAUACAAGAUCUUAUUAAUCAUCUAAGAUUUUAUGUGGAAAGACAUAUAUGGAUAACAAUCGUUACCAAAAAUAAGAGAUUCCAGCAUAAUCUUUUAUUUACCGAGUGGAAAGAGCAAUAAACUGUAAAAGUCGGAAACUCUUUGAAAGGCUUUGGAUAUUUCAUCUUUGACGUGCUUCUAAACGCAAUUGUGAUUCAUUAUUCGUAAAUAAAUAAAUAACCAACAAAAUAGGCAGAAAAAAUGAAGAUAAAUCUAAAAAUUUAUAAGGGACGUUGUUUACCUUUAUGAUUUACAUGAAAACUCUCGUGAUUGCAAUUUAUCGUGCUACAAUGUCAAAAAAUUUAUUUAAAUUGUUUAAAUAGAUUUUGAAGAGCGUAACGUUGAGAGAUCGAUAAAUUAACUCCAAUAAGGGAAAUAUUUUAAUCUUUCAUCCCGAAUUGUAAAACAAAUUAUAUGAAUAAUACAUCAUCGAUGCAACCAUUUAUUUCACAGUCACUGUCCAUUUCGUAUUUAUGGGUACAAUAAAACUGAUAAAUACGACAUAAAAAUUCUAAUAAUGAAUAAUGCGAAAACUUUAUUACAUUGUUACAACAAUAGAAUUCAUGAAUCAUUCACACAUUCGCGCACACGAAAUGAAGAAUAUGAGUUUAAUGAACUUAUUGUGUUUAAAAAUAUAACAUGAAAACAGGAAAUUGAUAAAGCUGUGUGAAUUACAAAACGAAUCGUGAUACAUCUAUAUAAAUAGCGUUUUCGACUGACAUAAAUUUGACCCAUGACCAAGGCCCAACCCGAGUUGGGUUAAUGACAUCACAUGCUGGAAUCGUCCGAUUAAAACCUGGAAGUAGAACGUGAUCGUUAUUAACUCUUCUCGGAUUGGACUUUGGUCAUGGGUCAAAUUCAUGCCGGCCAAAACGCUGUAAGAUAACAUCUUAAAAUCAAUUUUAAAGUCUGCUUAAAAUUGAAACUCCUAAAGGUUUGUUUUUUUAACUUCGAGUCGAUUACUCCGUACUGACUGAACAUAACGAAUAUUAAUAUAACACAGAACAGACGAAAUAGGAUGUAACAAUGUGACAAAUGCAAUAUAUUUAGUGCAUAAGGAAAGUUCAAGUAGCCAUUCGAAUCUGUUCCACCGUAUUAUUCGCAUAAACUCUUGUUGACUGUUCACAGAAUAAAUAAAAACAUAAUCUGUAAUAGUUGUUUUUCAUCCAUGUGAUCUAUUCGAAUAAAACAAGAUUUUCAACUUAA